UACGAAGGGGGCUAGCGUUGCUCGGAAUGACUGGGCGUAAAGGGCGCGUAGGCGGAUGGCACAGUCAGAUGUGAAAUUCCCAGGCUUAACCUGGGGGCUGCAUUUGAUACGUGUUGUCUUGAGUUCGGAAGAGGGUCGUGGAAUUCCCAGUGUAGAGGUGAAAUUCGUAGAUAUUGGGAAGAACACCGGUGGCGAAGGCGGCGACCUGGUCCGACACUGACGCUGAGGCGCGAAAGCGUGGGGAGCAAACAGG
rnacentral:rRNA from 1 species